CGGCGUGCCUCAGACAUGCAAGUCUGAACGCGAACGUUUCCUUCGGGAAACUAUUAGAGUGGCGCACGGGUGAGUAACACGUAAGUAAUCUACCUUUGGGUGGGGAAUAACAGUCGGAAACGGCUGCUAAUACCGCAUAAUGCAGCGGCUCCGUAUGGAGACAGUUGUUAAAGAAUUUAUUCGCCUAAAGAGGAGCUUGCGGUAGAUUAGCUAGUUGGUGAGGUAAUGGCUCACCAAGGCAACGAUCUAUAGCCGACCUGAGAGGGUGGUCGGUCACACUGACACUGAAUAACGGGUCAGACUCCUACGGGAGGCAGCAGUCGGGAAUUUUGGGCAAUGGGCGAAAGCCUGACCCAGCAACGCCGCGUGAAGGAUGAAGUAUUUCGGUAUGUAAACUUCGUAAAAAUGGGAAGAAUCAAUGACGGUACCAUUUGUAAGGUCCGGCUAACUACGUGCCAGCAGCCGCGGUAAUACGUAGGGACCAAGCGUUGUUCGGAUUUACUGGGCGUAAAGGGUGCGUAGGCGGUUUAUCAAGUCAGUUGUGAAAUCUUAAGGCUUAACCUUAAGCGGUCAACUGAAACUGAUAAACUAGAGUGCAGAAGGGGCAAUCGGAAUUCUUGGUGUAGCGGUGAAAUGCGUAGAUAUCAAGAGGAACACCUGAGGCGAAGGCGGGUUGCUAAGCUGACACUGACGCUGAGGCACGAAAGCUAGGGGAGCGAACGAGAUUAGAUACCCCGGUAGUCCUAGCCCUAAACGAUGAAUACUUGGUGUCUGGAGUUUUAAUUCUCCGGGUGCCGUAGCUAACGUGUUAAGUAUUCCGCCUGGGGAGUACGUACGCAAGUAUGAAACUCAAAGGAAUUGACGGGGACCCGCACAAGCGGUGGAGCAUGUGGUUUAAUUCGACGCAACGCGAAGAACCUUACCUAAACUAGAAUGCCUUUGACCAUCCGUAAUUGGAAUUUUCCGAGCAAUCGGACAAAGUGCAAGGUGCUGCAUGGCUGUCGUCAGCUCGUGUCGUGAGAUGUUGGGUUAAGUCCCGCAACGAGCGCAACCCCUAUUAACAGUUGCUAACAAGUAAUGUUGAGAACUCUGUUAAGACUGCCGUUGAUAAAACGGGGGAAGGUGGGGAUGAUGUCAAGUCAUCAUGGUCUUUAUGUUUAGGGCUACACACGUGCUACAAUGGACGGUACAAACCGUUGCAAUCUCGUAAGAGUGAGCUAAUCGGAAAAAGCCGUUCUCAGUUCGGAUUGAAGUCUGCAACUCGACUUCAUGAAGUUGGAAUCGCUAGUAAUCGUGGAUCAGCAUGCCACGGUGAAUACGUUCCCGGGUCUCGUACACACCGCCCGUCACAUCACGAAAGUAGGUUGUACUAGAAGUAGCUGGGCUAACUCGCAAGAGAGGCAGGUUACUACGGUAUGAUU
rnacentral:rRNA from 1 species